AGCGUUAGUUCUGCUGCUUCCUUUCAGCGAUUCAGUUGUUUGGAAGUAUGUAACCUAACCAAAUUACAUAUCGGGCUUUUUUAGCUGCCUUUCUGGCCUUCUCCAUUUCACUUCAUUGAACUGGCAGGGAAUAUAAAAGGCAGUGUCAGCAGGGCUAAUGAUGAUCGAGCAGUAUUCGAACUUCGUGUUAGUUUACUAGCUCUCACCAUUGUUUCAGAAAAUUGUGCAUGACCGAGAAUGCGCUAGGUUCUGUCCGUAACCUGGUGUCGAAGUUAUGCAUACACAUAUUUUUAAAAUUUGCGUAUUUUUAUGUGUUACGUAUAUUGCGUAUAUAUGUAGUUGAGAAACUGAAUCAGAGCAACGGUGUUUCCAUGAGUAAGUAACUACUGCAGCAUCUUAGGGAAAUCACAUAACCAAAUGGCCGUGAUGGAUGACUCAACAAACAUGGUCUGAUUAGGUGAUACUUGAAGAUCCUGGAUAGUGUCUUCAUUAGUUUAUUUUACACUCAGAGAAAAUCUGACUUUGUAAGAACACAACUGGACUCUUUCUGGAGAUGCUUGUUUAGUUGCUUCUGCUAGCCAGUGUACGUCUCCUCAAUCCGCAACCUGAGGACGUGCCAUACAUGGUGACAAAGGACCCAGCUAAUGUGGUUCUUCUGAGUCACC